AUUGAACGCUGGCGGCAUGCCUUACACAUGCAAGUCGAACGGCAGCACGGGAGCAAUCCUGGUGGCGAGUGGCGAACGGGUGAGUAAAGUAUCGGAACGUGACCAGUCGUGGGGGAUAACGUAGCGAAAGUUACGCUAAUACCGCAUACGAUCUAUGGAUGAAAGCGGGGGAUCGCAAGACCUCGCGGGAUUGGAGCGGCCGAUGUCAGAUUAGGUAGUUGGUGGGGUAAAGGCUCACCAAGCCGACGAUCUGAAGCUGGUCUGAGAGGACGACCAGAGACAAUGGGACUGAGAGACGGGGCAGGCUCCGACGGGAGGCAGCAGGAGGGAAGUUUGGGGAAUGGGCGAAAGCCUGAUCCAGGCAUGCCGCGUGCAGGAUGAAGGCCUUCGGGUUGUAAACUGCUUUUGUACGGAACGAAAAGGUUUGGCCUAAUAAGCUGAGCUCAUGACGGUACCGUAAGAAUAAGCACCGGCUAACUACGUGCCAGCAGCCGCGGUAA
rnacentral:rRNA from 1 species